rnacentral:rRNA from 1 species
UGGGGAAUAUUGCACAAUGGGCGCAAGCCUGAUGCAGCCAUGCCGCGUGUGUGAAGAAGGCCUUCGGGUUGUAAAGCACUUUCAGCGGGGAGGAAGGCGUUAAGGUUAAUAACCUUGGCGAUUGACGUUACCCGCAGAAGAAGCACCGGCUAACUCCGUGCCAGCAGCCGCGGUAAUACGGAGGGUGCAAGCGUUAAUCGGAAUUACUGGGCGUAAAGCGCACGCAGGCGGUCUGUCAAGUCGGAUGUGAAAUCCCCGGGCUCAACCUGGGAACUGCAUUCGAAACUGGCAGGCUAGAGUCUUGUAGAGGGGGGUAGAAUUCCAGGUGUAGCGGUAAAAUGCGUAGAGAUCUGGAGGAAUACCGGUGGCGAAGGCGGCCCCCUGGACAAAGACUGACGCUCAGGUGCGAAAGCGUGGGGAGCAAACAGG